UAGUUCCUAAUACAAAGCCCUAAGAUGCUCAGUAAUUGUCAGUUGAAUGAAUGGAUUCUUAAAUGGCUCAAAGGCUUUUCUCUUAUUUCCAUGCCACCUUAUGGCAUUUCUGGCCCUCUCUUCCCCUUGUCCUCCCUCUUCUAGAGGAAUUGGAGUACAUACCCUCAUGGUUGCUGAUUUCAAGUGGCCUUAGAGCAUUCUGACACAAGGACUUGUGAAAUGACAGGGGAUGGACAGAGGAGAGCAGAGCAGACUCCUGAGGCCACAAGGCUGCCAGCUUCCUGCUCUCCACCACUGCUCCCCUGCAGCCAGAAGUCCUAUUUCAUCCCUUUACCACCUCCACCCCAGACUAUGGCAGUUUCUGAUGAUGGCUUAGAUUGGGGUCCUGGCCGCCGCUAUGUGGCAGGUUGCAUUAGUACUGAGUAUGUUGGUCACCAUCUAACUUGAUCCUCAUAAAUACCUGUAAAGAGGGCAUUGUCCCCGUGUUCCAGGUGAGGAAACUGAGGCACAGACAAUUUAGUGAUAUGGUUAAGAAAUGUCAGAGCUGGGACAGACUGUGAUUUCAAAGGCC